GACGAACGCUGGCGGCGGGCUUAACACAUGCAAGUCGAACGGAAAGGCCCUUCUUUUGUGGGGUGCUCGAGUGGCGAACGGGUGAGUAACACGUGAGUAACCUGCCCUUGACUUUGGGAUAACUUCAGGAAACUGGGGCUAAUACCGGAUAGGAGCUCCUGCUGCAUGGUGGGGGUUGGAAAGUUUCGGCGGUUGGGGAUGGACUCGCGGCUUAUCAGCUUGUUGGUGGGGUAGUGGCUUACCAAGGCUUUGACGGGUAGCCGGCCUGAGAGGGUGACCGGCAACAUUGGGACUGAGAUACGGCCCAGACUACUACGGGACGCAGCAGUGGGGAAUAUUGUAAAAUGCGCGGAAGCCUGACGCAGUAACGCCGCGCGCGGGAUGACGUUCUUAGGGUUGUAAACCGCUUUCGCCUGAGCCGAAGCGUGAGUGACGGUAAUGGGUAAAGAAGCCCCGGCUAACUACGUG
rnacentral:rRNA from 1 species